AAAUUGAAGAGUUUGAUCAUGGCUCAGAUUGAACGCUGGCGGCAGGCCUAACACAUGCAAGUCGAACGGUAACAGGAAGCAGCUUGCUGCUUCGCUGACGAGUGGCGGACGGGUGAGUAAUGUCUGGGAAACUGCCUGAUGGAGGGGGAUAACUACUGGAAACGGUAGCUAAUACCGCAUAACGUCGCAAGACCAAAGAGGGGGACCUUCGGGCCUCUUGCCAUCGGAUGUGCCCAGAUGGGAUUAGCUUGUUGGUGGGGUAACGGCUCACCAAGGCGACGAUCCCUAGCUGGUCUGAGAGGAUGACCAGCCACACUGGAACUGAGACACGGUCCAGACUCCUACGGGAGGCAGCAGUGGGGAAUAUUGCACAAUGGGCGCAAGCCUGAUGCAGCCA
rnacentral:rRNA from 1 species